AGAGUUUGAUCCUGGCUCAGCGCGAACGCUGGCGGCAUGGUUAAAGCAUGCAAGUCGAACGCGAAAGCAACUUCGGUUGCAAGUAGAGUGGCGAACGGGCGCGUAAUGCGUUUCUAACGUACCCCAAGGUCAGGGAUAGCUCACCGAAAGGUGGGGUAAUACCUGAUAAUCCCAUUUUGACGCAUGUCAUAAUGGGCAAAGGCUUGCUUCCUUGGGAUCGGGAAACGUAGUAUCAGGUUGUUGGUGGGGUAAUAGCCUACCAAGCCGAAGACGGGUAGCGGGUGUGAGAGCAUGACCCGCCGCAUCGGGACUGAGACACUGCCCGGACUCCUACGGGAGGCUGCAGUAACGAAUCUUCCGCAAUGCGCGAAAGCGUGACGGAGCAAUGCCGCGUGCAGGAUGAAGGCCCUCGGGUUGUAAACUGCUGUCAGAGUUAAGGAAUAACUGACCAGACUCAAAGGAAGGGCCGGCUAACUUCGUGCCAGCAGCCGCGGUAAUACGAAGGGCCCGAGCGUUAAUCGGAAUCACUGGGCUUAAAGCGUACGCAGGCGGACUAGUAAGUACUUUGUGAAAUCCCUCGGCUCAACCGAGGAAGUGCUUGGUAUACUGCAUAUCUUGAGGUCGGUAGGGGCUGUCGGAACUAUAGGUGUAGCGGUGAAAUGCGUAGAUAUCUAUAGGAACGCCAAUGGCGAAGGCAGACAGCUGGGCCGAUUCUGACGCUGAGGAACGAAAGCGUGGGGAGCAAACAGGAUUAGAUACCCUGGUAGUCCACGCCGUAAACGAUGUGCACUAGGUCCUGGAGGUUUGACGGCGUUCGGUGCCGAAGUUAAAACGAUAAGUGCUCCGCCUGGGGAGUACGGUCGCAAGGCUAAAACUCAAAGGAAUUGACGGGGGCUCACACAAGCGGUGGAGCAUGUGGCUUAAUUCGAAGCAACGCGAAGAACCUUAUCCUGGAUUUGACAUGUAUGGAUUAGCUCUGUGAAAGCAGAGUGACGCCCUUUGGGUGGAACAUACACAGGUGCUGCAUGGCUGUCGUCAGCUCGUGCUGUGAAGUGUUGGGUUAAGUCCCUUAACGAGCGAAACCCUUAUCUUUAGUUGCCAGCGCGUAAUGGCGGGGACUCUAGAGAGACUGCCGGUGUUAAACCGGAGGAAGGCGGGGAUGACGUCAAGUCCUCAUGGCCUUUAUGUCCAGGGCUGCACACGUGCUACAAUGGGAACUACAAAGUGAAGCGAUACAGUAAUGUGGAGCAAAUCGCAUAAAAGUUUCCUCAGUUCGGAUUGUGGUCUGCAACUCGACCACAUGAAGUUGGAAUCGCUAGUAAUCGCGUAUCAGCUACGACGCGGUGAAUACGUUCCUGAGCCUUGUACACACCGCCCGUCAAGUCAUGGAAGCUGGAAGCACCCGAAGUGGCCCUGAAUCAAGGGUCCCUACGGCAAGCUCGGUGACUGGGACUAAGUCGUAACAAGGUAACC
rnacentral:rRNA from 1 species